ensembl:misc_RNA 7SK 7SK RNA
GGAUGUGAGGGCCACCUGGCUGUGACAUCUGUCACCCCAUUGAUCACCAGGGUUGAUUUGGCUGAUCUGGCUGGCUAGGUGGGUGUCCCCUUCCUCCCCUAAAGAUCCAUGUGCGUCCCUCCCAAAGCUGCGUGCUCCAUAGAAGAGGACGACCACCCCCAAUAGAGGAGGACCGUUCCUGGUUCAAGGGUGUACAAGUAGCUGCGCUCCCCUGCUAGAACCUCCAAACAAUCUCUCAAAAUAGCUGCAAAUACUUUCAGACUUAGUAAAAAUCAAACGAAUUAGGACAGAGAAUAACCAAUAAAAACAAAACAAUGAAUGAAAUAAAGCAUUU